CAACACAAACAGAAGAACAAACACCAGCAGGUAAUCCUUGUCGUAAGCUGGCGGUAUAGACAAAUUGUAAUUCUCAGCAUGGUAAAACCGACGGGCAGGGAACCUACCACAGGCAACAGAAACACCUACCGUGCAUGCCAUGCCACAGCCAAAGUAACUUGAACGAACGAUCAAUGGAGAUAUCAGAACGAAGCAUCACAUAUAUGGGCAGAUCUUGAUAGAAAAAUGUGAAUGGGGAAGACGGAGUUACACAAGAGUCUUACGAGUGCAGGCAUUCGAUCUUGAGGAUCUGCGUCGGCAUUGCCGUGUGCGCCCCAAGGCUCACUGGUGCCGCAACUUACGCCGGCCUCGCCUUCACCACUUUCAUCGAGUCAAAGACCAAACUACAAAUCACCUAAAAAAUGUCCUUCCAUCUCUACCUCCAUGGAGCUAUUGUCUUACGUAAUGCUCAUCAUUCAACCUGCAAAUAAAAGAACAGAGAUAAGCACUCACCGAAGUGGAUGAACAUAGAUGAUGCGACUUGAGACCAAUGGUUCUUGUAGAAAGGACCGUCCGGCGCUUCAGCAACAAUAUCCGAUCAGGAGCAAGCAGAACCGUAGCGAAUCUAUGUGAUGGAUAGAACGCACCUAGGUUGGUCCUGGAGCAGAGGAGGGCGUGGACGAGUUUAUUGUCGUGGCGGGGAGACUCCGCGCCGUCGAUGCCCCUGGAUCGUGUCGUGGUUCCGUCGCCUCACCUCACCUCGGUUGGGUCGCCGCCGCCAUCCUCAUGUAUAGCCUUGACCGGGGGAGAGGAAGAAAGGCCAGUGGAGAGGUCAAAUCUCGAGGGAGAGUGAGGUGCACCUUGCCGCCGAGGCCUACAUGCCUCGCCUGAAUUGAGGACUGUCAGUAAAGUGAACCUUCCCUGUUACUACGUGCCGGAAGUGCCCUGAAGGGUUGAUCUUACAUCCAACGGCUAAGGGAGGAAGAUACCGAUUCGGUGAGGAGGCAAUCAUCGUCCGCAGAUCCUGCAUCCAACGGCCCAGCUUAGCUCCCGCGUCGCUAUUACCUUUCCGACAAGACGCACUACCUUCAGUUGAAUUACUUUAAUUGCUUUAUACGAGUUGUCUUAUAAAUGCCUCUCCUUCCAGUCCAUUUAGGCAUGUAAUAGAUAUGUAGGUAAAACCCUAAGCCGUCUGUGGCGUGCUGUAGCUACUUUCCCCAUUUUAAG
rnacentral:lncRNA from 1 species